rnacentral:rRNA from 1 species
AAAUUGAAGAGUUUGAUCAUGGCUCAGAUUGAACGCUGGCGGCAGGCCUAACACAUGCAAGUCGAACGGUAACAGGAAACAGCUUGCUGUUUCGCUGACGAGUGGCGGACGGGUGAGUAAUGUCUGGGAAAUUGCCUGAUGGAGGGGGAUAACUACUGGAAACGGUAGCUAAUACCGCAUAA